rnacentral:misc_RNA from 1 species
UCUCCGUUGGUGAACCAGCGGAGGGAUCAUUACUGAGUUUACGCUCUAUAACCCUUUGUGAACUUAUACCUAUUGUUGCCUCGGCGCAGGCCGGCCUCUUCACUGAGGCCCCCUGGAGACAGGGAGCAGCCCGCCGGCGGCCAACCAAACUCUUGUCUCUACAGUGAAUCUCUGAGUAAAAAACAUAAAUGAAUCAAAACUUUCAACAACGGAUCUCUUGGUUCUGGCAUCGAUGAAGAACGCAGC